GGGGGUCUGGGGGGGGCGUCAGUAGGGGUGGGGUCCCCAAAUAUUGGGGUCUGGGGGGGUCAGUGGGGGUGGGGUCCCCAAAUACUGGGGUCUGGGGGGGUCAGUGGGGGUGGGGAUCCCCAAAUAUGGGGGUCUGGGGGUUUGUAGGGGAGCUUUGGGGUCGAGACCCCCAAUAUGGGGUUGUGGGGGUGCUGUGAGUGGCUUGCUCUUUGGGGGCAUGGCCUUGUUUCACGCUCAUCUCAUGUUUCUGUUGGGGUGGGGGGGCCUGAGAGUAUGGGGGCGUGGCCUAUCUCAGCCCCCCACCCUUUUCAACCCCCCCUGCCCCUUUCCAGGCUCGGAUCAAGAAGAUCAUGCAGACGGAUGAGGAGAUUGGGAAGGUGGCGGCCGCCGUCCCCGUCAUCAUCUCGCGGGCCUUGGAGCUGUUCCUGGAAUCCCUGCUGCGUAAAGCCUGCCACGUCACCCAGUCCCGCAACGCCAAGACCAUGACCACCUCCCACCUGAAGCAGUGCAUCGAACUGGAGCAGCAGUUCGAUUUCCUGAAGGAUUUGGUGGCCGCCGUCCCCGAUAUGCAGGGGGAGGGGGACGAGCCCCAC
rnacentral:lncRNA from 1 species